CUCAUGCCAUUGCAGUUGGAUAUCAGCUGGGACCACAGUUAUCUAAAGGCCCCACUCUGAAGGUCAAGAUGGCUCACUCACAUGGCUGGAAGCUGAUGCUGGCUGUGGCCUGGAAUGCCAGACAUAACCUCUCCAGGGAUGGGAGAGCUGCUGUCACAAACCAAGGAACACGUGGAGCCACCAGAAACUGGGGGAGGCAAGAAAGGAUCCUCUCCUAGAGCCUUUAGAGGGGGUGCAGCCCUGCCAACACCUUGAUUCCUGACUUCUACCCUCCCCUCCAGAUUUGCAAGACAAUAAAUUUCUGUUGUUUAAACCA